rnacentral:sRNA from 1 species
GUGAGGGGGAAGAAGGAGAGGAGAGAGAAGAAUGCAUUUUUCCCCACAUUCUAGUAUUGUGCAACUAUACUAGGUGUGGUUGAUAUCCACAUGUUGAAUAGGAAAUAGUGUUUAGUUUCCCUGACAUAACUUGGUAGUUUAUUUCCAAUUUUUAAUAAGACAUUUCUAGAACAAUCAAGAGGACCAAAUUAGAAUAUAUGAAAGUGACAUUGUCAAGGUAAACACAGCCCUUAAAAUCAUCCACCACUUGGAAUUUAUUAGCCUCAUUCUUAUUCCCUCCCCCUACCAUAGGCCAGACAGCCAUAAUGGCAGUAGAUGGAGAACGGGCUGUAUGUGUCUUCCUUGUCAUAGCUUAACCUUGUGGACAAUAUGAACCAAGUUAGACAAUUUAAGAAGAAUGGAGGCACCUUGGUGUGCUCUGUUUCUCUCUGCGUUCCUAGGCCUGGUAGACAGGCUCUAUUUGUUUGAGAACCAAUGUCUCUUCAGAGUCUUACAAGAUAAAUGAACAAAAUGUUUGAGUAGAUAAAUGCAGAGCAAGCCAAGAUGACGAAUACUGAACAUAAGAGCCAAGCAAAUGUUAGAAUCUUAAUUUACAGGAUCUACAUUAUACCAUCACUACUUAGUAACCGUCCCUGGUGGGUGCUACGUACCCGUUGCUAUUAAAACAUUUACACAACCAAUCUAGAAAACUGACUCUCAGGCCCUCGUGAAGAUCCCUAAUCCACAGAGGGCCCAGGUUUCUUCCUUCCAGUGUCAGGACCUGAUGCUCAAGUCUGAGGAUCAGCUGGAUGACAGAAGGGUGUUUCAGAACUCCUGGGAACCAGAACAGAGAUCUUAAGUGACAGAAGAUUUCAGAAAGAACAGCUCUCCUCCGCUGCAUUGGGUGAUGCCAUUUUUCCCAGGUGAGCACACACUAAGUAGAGUGGAGCUUAGGUUGACCUUUCCUUCUGUGGCAUACUCAGUGUAGUGUACAUCAGGACUGUCAUGAGCCUGUUGUUUUGAGAGGUCUCUGCUAGCCACCAGCACUCAAAUUGACCAAGUGUUCACCAGUGGAUAAACAGAUAAAGAUGCCCCCCUUUCAAUCCUCACUCCUGUGAUUUGUGACAAUAUAGAGGAACCCCAGGGGCACACAUUAAAUGAAAUAAUGUUUGAGGUGCCCAAAGAUAAGUGUUGUACGAUCUCAUCCAUAGACAUUGUAUAGAUGUAUAGAGGUCUAUACAUUGUAUUAACAGAGACUAAGGUGGGGAAGGAGAGGGAGCUAGCAAAGAAGUUGAUCUUUGGGUACAAACUUACAGUUAGGAUAAGCAAGUUUUGGCAUAUGACUGCACAGUAGAGUGACUACAUCAAUGAUAACAGUUAAUAUUUCAAAAAACCUAGAAGAGAUGAUCCUCCUUAUUGGUAUUAUAAUAAUUGAAGAAAGGAUUUUAAUAUUCUACUGCCAAGACAGGAUAAAUGUUUUGAAGCCAUGAGUAUAAUUCCCAUGACUCGAUCACUGGAUAAUGUUUGUAUAAUGUGUAACUAUUGUGUUAGUUUUCUGUCAGCCUAACACAGACUAGAGUCAUCUGGAAGAAGGCACCUCAGCCAAGAAAAUGACCUCUUCAGAUUGGCUUGUGGGCAAGUCUGUGGGGGGGCAUUUUCUUAGUAAAGGAUUGAUGUUCGAGGGCGCAGUCCACUGCGGGUGGUGCCAACCCUGACAGGAGGUUCUGAGUUGUAAAAACAAACGCUGAGGGAGCCAUGGGGAGCAGGCCAGGAAGCAGUGUUUCUCUUGCUUCCAGGUGACUGCCCUGACUUUCCGUCCUAAUAGACUAAGCUGGAGUUUUGUAAGGCCUUCCCAAGCUGCUUUUGGCCACGAUGUUUAUCACAGCAACAGAAAGUAAAUUAGAACAUGCAUAUUGAAGUUCAUGUUGUACCCCCACAGAUGUAUAUAAUCAUUUUAUAUACAUACAUAUAUACAUACAUAUGUCCGUAAGUGUGUGUGUGUGUGUGUGUGUGUGUCCGUGUGUCCGUGUGCACGUAUGCACGUGUGCAUAUCUACAGCUGCCGAAAAUCUGCUGUUGAGAGAAAGGAAGUCACCAGUGAGAGGUGGCUAUAUGCGAAACUCCUCUUUUCUUUGCUGCUACAUGGGCACUCUCCAGGGAGGAAGCUUUGAGCACAAGGAAGGGGGAGGCUUUUAACUUCAGCAUUUCUGUUCCUAGUCCUAAGCUAGGGGUGGUUUGCUGAGACCGAAAACUCCAUCAGAGGAAGACAUGUCCGCUAACUGCGGCUAAGUAUGAAUUCCUACCGGGAUUAGAAUUCGCACACCCUGACUUCCUAACUGAGACUCUCUUGGAGAACUGGGCCAAACUGGAACUUUAGAAACCUUGGUAGAAAACAGGAGUCUUGGCUUCUAGAAGACAGGAGGGACCAGAAGGGUCUGAAAGGCCCCUGCAUCAAAACCCUAAACUUCUGGUUGUCUUGGUUGAUGCGAUCCUUGAACAGGACUUCCUCAGAAGUGCCCCAGCAAAGCCAGCCUGAUCCAGCACCUCCAGGUGUGAGCAGAGCAGCCUCAGGAAUUCCCAGGUCCAGAUACUUCUAAGAAGAGGCACAGAGAGUUGUUAGAGAAUCCCUUGGUAUGGUAUUUUGCCCAGCGUCAACUGUCAACUUGACAUAGUCAAGAGCCAAUUGCUAAGAGAGUCUCAAAUGAGUGUCCUUUUCAGGUCAGUCUGUGGGUAUGGAUGUAAGAGACUGCCUUGAUUACUAGGUGAUGUUGGGUGUGCCCACUGCAGGAGGCACUAUUACCUGGGCUGUAUAAGAAAGCUAGCUAAGCGUAAGCCUGUGAGUGAGUCAGCAUCUAACAUUCACCUUUGCUUUCUGCUCCUUUCCUGCCCUUGACUUCCCUCGAUGAUGGACAGCAAUCUGGAAGCUGAAAUAAGCCCUUUCCUUCUUAAAGGGGGUUUUGGUCACGAUAUUUGUGGCAGCAACUGAAUCAAACUGGAAUAUUUGGAAUCUACGCCUUUUGAUGGGACUAUAAACAUCUUUUCACAGCUUCUGAACUACAUCCCAUAAUAUACAUGACCGCAUCCAUCACAGACAGCCAAGAGGCUGCUUCUGGGAUUUUUUUCCAUCCAGUAAUAUCUCUCUGGGUAAGAUGAUACACACGUCACUCACUUCAGGCCAGGGACAGGUGUGUUGUCUUUUGAUUUUUCUGCACACCGGUCUUCACCACCAUGUCUCAUGCCCAGCCUGCAUCAAGAGAUGGCUUGCCCCGAGCCAAUAUGAUUACAGAGGAAAAACAACAAAACCCUCUGACAUGGCUGGCUUUGAUGGGUCUAGUGUUAUUUGCUGCCCCCUUGUGGUCAGACUGGAUUCCCUCAUUCGCCUCUCCAGGACGUAUAGCAGGUUUCUGAAGAGAAAGCUUGGCAGAGUUUUGUUAGGAGGAACAGAGAGAAAGGUUGAAACUGGCGAGAGUUUUAAAUAAGAAAAGACUAAUGAAAUGGUUGCUACACUUGACACUCUCUGACCCUGUAGUCGUCUGUGGCAGGAAAUGGAUGGUUGUCGAGAAUCCGUUUGGGGCGCCGACUCCAGGUCCCUAUAAUUUAUCAUUUUUAUAUAUUCCAUCUUAGACCUUUUUAUAACUUGCACUUGCUUAUCUUAAAUUGCCUUCUCAGACCCUCACAACUCACUUAAGCUCCCAUAUCCUCAGACCUUUAUACAUCUUAAAUUUCUUUCUUAAAGGGCCGAGAUGUGGAGAAGUUGCCCGCCCCUCUCUUCCCUUCCUCCAACAACAGAGUCCCAUUGAGCUUUGUCCUUACCCACCCCACCCAGAAGAGAAACCAAGUUCCCCACCUAAGAGUGAAGCAACUGGAAUAUCUCGGCUUAGCUGUUCGGUAGCCGUUCAACUGCCUUGACCCACAGAAGGGAAGAGGGUGACACUGACAAGCGUCCAAUUAAGCUUGCCGCUUCUAAGACAAGGAGUGACCUGAGCGACCCACAGCUGGCUGAAGAUGAGGUACAUACACAAUGGGAUGUUAUUCAGCUACACAAUGGAGGAAAGCUGUCAUUGUGGCAGCCCAGAUGGAACUGGCACCAUUAUGUUAAACGAAACAGGCUAGGAAGUCAAGUACUACUUGUUCUCCAUGACAUCUGCAACCUUUACAGAGCCAUCUCCUAGAGUGGUUACUAGAAGCUGGGAAGGGUCAGCGGAGGUGUGUGUGGAGAGAGGGGAGGGAGAGAGCAUCAGAGUAAAAGAGGCAAACUGAAAGUCUCAUUGCGCGUUAGAACCAAGCUCUGGCUGGUAACUGUGUCUCCUGUACAGCUAAACGAGGAAACGGGCAGUGCUGGAGGGGGAUGGGUAUGCCCAGCACACUGUUGAUCAAACAUUGCACAUGUAUAUUGAAUAUCACACUGCAUUACAAAAUAUGUAUAGUUAUUCAGCUGAAUCAAUUAAAAUUAAUCCCAAGCAACAAAAUAAACCCUAUGUCAUGAAAAUGACCCCUGCUUCUGCCAUUUUUCUGUUUCAUUCACUCAGA